CUCCUACGGGAGGCAGCAGUGGGGAAUAUUGCACAAUGGAGGAAACUCUGAUGCAGCGACGCCGCGUGAACGAUGAAGGCUUUCGAGUCGUAAAGUUCUGUCCUAGGGGACGAUAGUGACGGUACCAUAGGAGGAAGCCCCGGCUAACUACGUGCCAGCAGCCGCGGUAAUACGUAGGGGGCGAGCGUUGUCCGGAUUUAUUGGGCGUAAAGGGUACGCAGGCGGUCUUUUAAGUCAGAUGUGAAAUCUCACGGCUCAACCGUAAUCAGCAUUUGAAACUGGAAGACUUGAAUCAAGGAGAGGAAAGUGGAAUUCCUAGUACAGCGGAGAAAUGCG
rnacentral:rRNA from 1 species